rnacentral:lncRNA from 1 species
UCUCCUCCAUGUAACAGUGCUGAUGAAAAUGAUUCAAUGCUGCCAAAAUAUCCGGUUUAAUGAAAUCCCAAGACUUCUGAAAGAAGGCCAUGGUAAAUCCAUCAGGACCUGGGGCUUUAUCUGGGGCACAUGAUUGAAUGAUAGCAUAAACUUCAUCUUCCUCAAAACCUUUUCAAGCAUUUCACUUCCUCCUCUGAUGAUCUGGCAACAUCUUCAAAGUUGGAAGAUGGUCUCCACUCUUCCUUCUCUGUGUAUAGUGAUUGGUAAUAGUUUAAUAUUUCCCCUUUGAUCAAUUCUUUAUGAGCUGUAAUCUCAUUGUUUAUCUUGAGCUUGUCUAUUGAAUUGCAUCUCCUAUGAGAGCAAGCCAAUGCUUGAAAGUAUUUAGUGUUCCUGUCCCCUUCUUUUAUCCAUAAGCAUCUAGAUUUUGCCUCCAUGAAAUUUCUUCAGCUUUGGCAGUCUCUUCCAACUCCAGUCUUAGAUCAAAAACUUCCGCUUGAGUUGGAGCUCUGCUUUCGGUUACUUGUUCUAAGGCUAAGUGUUCAUCAAGGGCCUGCUUCUCUUAGUGUCUAACAUGCCAUAAACUUCUUUGUUCCACUUGGAGAGGUCCUUCUUCAAGCUCCUCAACUUCUGAACUAGCACAAAGUAUGGGUUGCCACCUAUUGUGUAAUUUUGCCACCACCCUUUCUUCAUGUCAAUGAAUCCUUCUCUUUGAAGCCUCAAUUUUUCAAAUUUAAAGUAAGAUGAUGUUGAAUCCCAUUCUCCACUUCUAGCAAUAAAGGUUUGUGAUCUGAGAUUACUCUUGGAAGUUGUUUGAUGGCUCUGAAACUUCCAUUCCAUUCUGGGGAGACCAAGAACCUUUCAAUUCUUGAGGCUUGGAAAAUAUCCUCCCCUCUUGACCAGGUGUAUUGUGCAAAUCUAUUAGCCGUAGGUCCUCAACUGCUUCAGAGAAACAUCUCAUAGCUUUGGUCCUUCUAUAACAGUUCAGUCUUUCAGAUUCAUACGUACAUACGUUGAAAUCCCCUCCAACAACCCGUUGUUCCUCCGAAAUACCUCUGAUUGAUCCCAGUUCUUGCCAAAAUUCUUCCCUUUCAGCAUUGGAGUGAGGACCAUAGACACCGGUAAACCCCCACUUGAAGUCCUCAUGGAGGCUUUCAAGAAAGCAUGUAUUAGUGAAGCACCCCUGGUGAGAGUCAAUACACCUCCACGAUCACUUAUCCCAUAGAAUAAGAAUGCCACCCCUAGUGCUAGUAGCCUUCAACUAUGCCCAUUCAGCCCACCUAUUUCCCAAAUAUGGUAAAUCCAGUGUUAUUAAAAGCGCUCGCUACAGCGCUAAAAGCGUGUAGCGAGGCGUAGCGAAGCCUUAACGCCACAAAGGGCAGUGUGGCGAUGCGAUGCAGAAUGGCGAGGGCAACAGCUGCUGUGGCGCGAGGCGCUGUGUGGCGACGCUAUUUUGAAAAUACAGUAAUUAAAACACAUCAGCUUUACAAAAACACAAGCAGUCGACAAUUUAGGGUUUUGCUGCAAAUCAUCUUCUUCUUCCAGCCUCUCUCUGGACUCGACAUCCUAGGUAUGUUCUUCAUCUUCACUUCUUCUUUCUUCUUUCUUCCUUCUUCCUUCUUCUCUCUUUUCUUCCAGCCUCUCUCUGGACUCGACAUCCCAGGUAUGUUCUUCAUCUUCACUUCUUCUUUCUUCUUUCUUCUUUCUUCCUUCUUCUCUCUUUCUUCUUUCUACUUUCUUCCUUCUUCUCUCUGGACUCGACAUCACAGGACCUGUCAGCCUCUGUUUUACACUUUUUCUUUCUUUCUUCUUUCUUCCUUCUUCUCUCUUUCUGGACUCGACAUCACUGGUGCAUACAUCUGUUUUUUUUUCAGUCUCAAUCUCGACCACUCGACCAGUGAAAAGAAAAACAGAGCUGUAGUUGUCGACCACUCGACAGUGCUCUUUUUUCAGUGAAGGCAGUGCUCUGUUUUUUUUUUCAGUGAAGACAGUGCUCUGUUUUUUUUUUUUCAGUCAACAGAGUUGUCGACCACUCGACCAGUGCUUUGUUUUUUUUUUUAGUCAGCACUGCUCUGUUUUUUUUUCCAGUCUUGACCUGUCGACUUGAAAAAAAAAACAGAGCUGUCGACCACUCGACCAGUGCUCUGUUUUUUUUUCACAGUCAGCACCACUCGAACAGUGCUCUGUAACCUGCACAGAUAAAAUAAGAAAAAUUAAUCUGCAAUUCUGCUAGGUUGCUUAAAUUUAUUUGAUUUAUUGCUCUAUUUUUCUUUAAAACAGCGCUGAAAAUUGAAAUGGCGUCAUCCGAUAAUAAUAAACGAAGUGAUAUAGCUUGGAAUUAUGCUAUCCAAGGCCCGUCAAGAACUGCAAUUAAAUGUUUGUUCUGUGGAAAAACAUAUACAAGUGAUAAGAUUUUUAAAUUGAUAUAUUUAUUAUUAACAUAUUAUUGUUAUUGAGUUUUUAGUGUUAUAUAUAUAUAUUGUUUUUUUUUUAAAUUGUCGCCUCAUAUCAAAAAGGCGAGCGCUUCGCUGCGCGCCUCUCGCCUCACUGAAGCGAGCCCUCGUCGCUAUUUGUCGCCGCGUGCUAUCAAAAACACUGCUUGGGUCGGUGAUUCAAGGGGACGGAGAGAUUGACGGGGGCGUCACUCAUCGUAUAGGAGCGGGUUGGUCAAAGUGGAGGCUUGCAUCAGGAGUCCUGUGUGACAAGAAAGUUCCACAGAAAAUCAUAUAGGUUGAGAUAUUCUCCAUUUUGGUUUCUUGAAGACACGUAAUAUCAGCUUUCCACUUCCUAACUAGAGAUGUGAUAGUGCUCCGUUUAUCCCUGUCAUUGAGGUCCCUAAUGUUCCAGCUGAGAAUUUUAACUUUCAUCUGGAAAGAGGCUUGUCUUGCCUGCCCCUUACCUUUUUAUUCCUUCCCUCAUAGUUGAUGCCACAUAUUAAGUUUUGGAUCUCAGUUUUCCUCUUUUUCCUCCCUUUUCCCUUCUUACUAGUUGAAGAAGAUGAUCCCUUAUUGUAGUUGAACCUGUCUUUUCCGGUCCAUUCUCAUGAUUAAGUCAAAAAUUUCAUGCUUAAAUCCAGCACCGUUGAUCCCGAAUUCCUUGCAUACCAUACCCAACACCAAUUUGAUCCAUUUCGAGGUUUCUACUACUGUAGGUUGUUGAAUUCCUUGUUGGAAUCCCUAUAAAUCCAGAUUUUCAUCAUCGUGCCAUGGUAGAUAAAGUGACUCUUUGUAUGAAUCUGUUUCUGAGCACAUUAAUGCAGUAGAUGCCGCAUCGGACCAGCCCAGUUGUUGAGGAAGACCACUAGCAUCAGAAAGAAAGUUUUCCGAUUCGUCAUCAGCUUCUGAAUGUGUCACAGGUGUUUCAUGUGUGACUGCUUCAUAGAAUGGCACUAAGGAAUGAGACUGUUGACAAAAGGGUGAAGAAGAAGGAAUAGUAAUGCUGGAAUUGAUUUGUAAAUCCUGUAGAGGCCUUUUAGCACGCCAUUCCUGAAUGAUUGUGGGUUUAGUUGCCUUCAUCUUUUGUUGGAACUUCUUUUUUGGGGCUUUAUAAUAAUUAAAAGAUUGACCGACCAUCUUCUCUUUAAUGACUCAUGAGGUGUUUUCUUUAUUGGGCCUGCAUAGGAUAAUAUUAUUAUUAGCCCGUGUGUGGAGAAGGGAUGGCAAAGGGCCCAAAAGGUGACCCUUUGACGGCUGUCCCUCCACGUUCUUUGAAUUGACUGCAACCCUAUCAUUUUCCCCCAAACACAUCGCCUUAGUUUUGGCCGCCGUUUUUGCAUCUGUUGGUGGGAAAUGUUUUGGCGACCUUGCUACCUCCUUCAGAAUUAAAAUUUCGAAGCUCCAACACUCCACAUCGAGCUCUAUCUUAUCUAGACAUUCAAUAUUACCAUUGUUGACACAGAUUCUUGCCCAGAGGUAGCUGGUGCCUCGUAUCUUCAUCAAUGUCUAUGAAGCCACCACACAUGUCGCCAAUGAUUCUAAAUGUUUCGAGGUGCCAAGCAUUAAUGGGAAUUUCGAAAGCCUUAAUCCAUUUUUGACCAGAUCUCUGCGAGGCUAACUCAGUGCCCGCUACCGGCGACCACCACUCCAAAGAAAGUCGUCGACCGUUCCAGAACCAAUCUCCACCAUGGACUCUCCCUGCUUCUUUCCUUGAUGGGAAUUCAAAGAGAAAUUGAUUGUGAGACAUUGGAGUUACUUUCAGACCCUUGCAAACCUUCCCACCUAUUCAGAAACCAUUUUUGUAUCACUUCAUGGUUGGGGCUGUAGUUGAAGGGAUCGUUGAACGUGCCGACUAAGCACCUUGAGAGGAAAUAGUGAUUCCCGUCAUCCGCGCGUGGGUUAACUGCGUUGACAAUGUUAACCACCCUUGCUGGAAGCUUCGUCACAGGCAACCGAGGAAUUUUUGCUCUUUCUACAUAAGACUGAAGAGUAGGAGGCAGCCUAGAACUGCUUGUACUUUGUUUCUCCCAGAAAGUGUAAAUUUUUUUUUGCUAUAUCUGCCAUCCCAAGUUGUAAUCUACCUCAGGAAGAAUCGGUAGCUGUGAAACUAGCUCUAGCUUGAUGACUGCUUUAAUUUUAGCUUUUUCCUAGGGCAUCGAAGGAGUUGAUCCUGGUCGAGGUAAAUGGAUUUAGGAAUUCAUGCUUUCUUCCUGCCCCCCAACCAUGCUUCAAUACAUAUGAAUCUACCAUACAACAACAACAACAACAACCCAGUGUAAUCCCACUUAGUGAGGUCUGGGGAGGGUAGUAUGUGCGCAGACCUUACCUCUACCCUGGGGUAGAGAGGCUGUUUCCAAAUUGACCCCCGGCAUCCUUCCCUCCAAGAACUUCNNNNNNNNNNNNNNNNNNNNNNNNNNNNNNNNNNNNNNNNNNNNNNNNNNNNNNNNNNNNNNNNNNNNNNNNNNNNNNNNNNNNNNNNNNNNNNNNNNNNNNNNNNNNNNNNNNNNNNNNNNNNNNNNNNNNNNNNNNNNNNNNNNNNNNNNNNNNNNNNNNNNNNNNNNNNNNNCCUCCAAGAACUUCCCACCUUGCUCUUGGGGAGACUCGAACUUACAACCUCUCGGUUGGAAGUGGGGGUUGCUUAUCAUCAGAGCAACCCCUCUUGCCUACAUAUGAAUCUACCAUAACUGUUGAAAUUUACGAAGGCUCUGUAAUAUUAAGACUGUGAACUCCACCCCAACGUUUUCAGUUGCUUGUCUGAGUGCUGUGCAAACUCGCCUGAGACUUUCCUCAUCUAUGUUAAUAUGACACGAAAAUCUUCUUCCCCUUUCAAUUAUAGUAAACCACCCGUUGCCGGAGUCGAUGAUUUCAAAAGAUUUCUCACAUGAAAUAAAAAUAUCUUGGCUUCCAUGGUAAAGAAAUUUAGAGGGAAGUAGCAAUUAACAUUGAGUCUGUAAUCUUAAAAUGGAGGAAGAUUUUUUUCUCUCUGACUGAGCUGGCCGGAAUAGUGCUUCAGUCACCGGAAAAAUGAAAAGUGGUCGGUAUCUAGAUCUGCAUGGAUGGGAGUGGUCGGAAAGGUGGCUCGAACAGGCUGUCCGAAAGAAAAAAUUUGAAAGCUGGCCCGGAAAAUGAGUCACGCGCCGGCGCGUGGGGGUGGCCUCGCCGGAGCUUCGCCGCGCGUGGAGGUGCGUGUGUGGCUGUUCGUCGGAGAUCUUUUCGGGGUAGGUUUGCGAUUCCGGGGUCUCUCUGGUGGUGUUUGUAGAAACUCAAGAUUACGGGUUCUCAGGCUCCUCGGGAGUGUGCCUGAGAAAAUCUGACUUUACUGUGACUUUACACUUGCACAGAACUUACAAUUACAAUUACCUUAUAAUUGUUGCACAAGUAUUUAAACUUUCAUCCUUGAUGUAUUCUUGUCGAUGGACAUCCAAAAGACUGAUGGUUUUCCAGUAGCCACCUUGGUGUUUAUGGGCUUAUUCAAUUUGCUGCACUGGGGUUUAAUAUUUUGCAUUUUGAAAUUCUCUUGGACUUCACUUCUUGGUUUCAUUUGACCUUAAAUUUUUACUACAAAAUACCAUUUUGAUUGCAUAUGGUUUUUUUGGUACAUAUUUGUAAUUUGUGGAUCUGGUGAGGAUAUACUUUUUUAUCUGCAUUAGUAAAUGUCGGAUUACAAAUGAUGUGGAUUUUACCUGUUCAUCUAUUGUAUUUGUUUGCACUUGCGUAGAGCAUGAAGCUGUGGUUUGGCCGUGGAGAUGCAAUUAGGCCCGAUGAGAUGAACCCCGACUACAUGAGUAAGUCAAAAGACAAUAAACAGUUGAGCUAAUGGAGUUGGGUUCGCUUGCCGUGGUGGAUCUAGCACCUACCGUUCCUUCCAAUAUAAGCCCAAAUUCUACACUGUUUAUCCACAGAAUAAUUGCCAGGAGCGACACCAGCGGUGUGUAUACAUGAUAUCUCUGUCAUUGAUUGAUGAUUCUGGUGGAUUUGACCCUUAAUUAUUAUUUGUAUGAAAUGUAAACAGAAUAAAAGUAUGUCGAAAGUGACAGUUUGAAGUGUUGCAUUUGAAUAGGAAGGAUGUUCCUGAGAGUGGUUGGAUUUAUGUUGAGGAUUUCUAUCAACUCCAUUUUUAAAUACUCAAGGUUUGCUUCUAUUAGUUUUCUUCCAAUAUUUUCGUGAAUUAGACCUUGACAACUCAGUAUCUCAUCUCCUCUUAUUUAACAGUUCAUAGAGCUACUAUAUUGAAAUGCAUGUACUGAGUGAUGGUCACUUCGUGGUUUUCUUUCUCGAGUCUAUUUGGCUAAUUUUCAGAUAGCCUCAAGAUAAAUAUGUUAUUCCAAUAUUUUUUUUCUUCUUAAAAGAACAUCUGAAACAUUUUUUUUUAUUAGCAUAAUAACUUCCAAAGAGCAGAAAAUGGACGAUAAUGGUGGUCGGAUGAAGUAAAGACUAGCAACUCUACUAAACUCUAUUUGUUUGCAACUCCUUGGCAAUGUCACUCAAAUUGUUUUUGUUUGAAUUAUCACUAUUGUUGUGGAAGCCAAAUAUAUAUGGUAUGAAUGAGUCACUAUUACUAUAUCAAAAAAAUAUGGCAGCUACUAAAUAAUAAAUAAGACAAUAAAACAACAAUAAAAGGAACACCUGAAUUUACGAGGUUCGGUCAGUUUUGCCUACUUUUCGGACACGACCAAUAUUUUAUUUCACUCCAAAAAUACAAGUGAAAUAAUAUUAAAGAGAGAAGAUACAAAUGCUUUAAACAAAUGAGAAGGUAAAAUGAGAGGUGUGGUUAAAUCCUAAACAUUAGGCCUUCUUUUAUAUAGGGAAAAUCCCUCCAACUCUACUUCCCAAUCAAUGCGGGACUAAAAUCUUUGCCAAAUUCAACAAAUAUCUACCUCGACAAAAAUUUCACAUCCUCAAUUUUCUCUCUAUCACAAUUUUUGAUUGUUUCUUCUUUAAUCUUCAGUGUUCAACAAUAUUUGAUCAAAUUCAAACAAUGUUGAAACUUGAUCAAAGUGAUCACUUUUGUCAGCAUAUCAACAAGAUUCUCCGUAGUAUGAGUUUUCUUCACCGUGGCUCCACCUUCUUCUAUGAUUUCUCGUACGAAAUGAUACCGAACAUCAAUAUGCUUCGUCCUUGCAUAUAAACUUGGUUUUUCGCUAACUGAAUAGCACUUUCACUAUCACAAAAAUUGUGAUACUUUUUGUUCAACACCAAGCUCUUUUAGCAACCCUUGAAGUUUGGUUCUUCGCUAAUUGAAUAUCACGUUGACUAUCACAAAAAAUUGUGAUAUCUUUUUGUUCCAUACCAAGCUCCUUUAGUAACCCCUGAAGCCAAAUUGCCUCCUUCACAGCCUCUGUAAUAGCCAUAUUCUCUGCCUCUGUUGUAAGACAAAGCAACUGUUGACUGCAAAGUAGACUUCCAACUAACUGGUGCCUUUGCAAAAGUAAACAUAUAACCAGUAGUUGAUCUUCGUUUGUCCACAUCACCCGCAAAAUCUGAGUCACAAUAUCCAACUACAGACUGAUUGUCUUCCUGCUUAAAAACUAACACGACAUCUACAGUAUUAUGAAUAUACCGUAAAAUUUACUUCAUAGCUUGCCAAUGCUUCUUUCCUGGAUUGUGGAUAUAUCUGCUAAUAACUCCAACAACUUGUGAAAUGUGAGGCCUUGAAUAAACCAUUGCACACAUCAAGCUACCAAUGACAUUUGCAUAUGGUACCUUUGACAUAUACUCUCGUUCAGCUUCAUCCUUUGGCGACAUAGUAGUAAUUAACUUAAAAUGGGGAGCAAGUGGAGUACUAACUGGCUUAGUCUUGUCAUCUAUGCCAUUUUUGAGAUAAACAAAAUUUCUUUGAACAUCUAUCUCUUAUUAUCUCCAUGCCAAGAAUUUUCUUUGCCUCGCCCAGAUUCUUCAUCUCGAACUCCUCUUCAGUUGAACCUUCAACUUAUCAAUUUCUUUCGAAUUCUUGGAAGCUAUCAACAUAUCAUCAACAUAUAGGAGNNNNNNNNNNNNNNNNNNNNNNNNNNNNNNNNNNNNNNNNNNNNNNNNNNNNNNNNNNNNNNNNNNNNNNNNNAUCAACAUAUAGGAGAAGAUAUAUAAAGGAACCAUCUUUAAGCCUGCACAAAUACACACAAUGAUCGUAUUUGCUUCUCUUGUACCCUUGGUGCAACAUAAACUUGUCAAAUUCUUUGUACCACUGUCUAAAAGAUUGUUUCAAAUCGUACAAUAAUUUUUUAAGCUUGCACACCAUAUUUUCUUUUCCAGUAACUUUGAAUCCUUCUGGCUGAGUCAUGUAGAUUUCCUCCUCCAAGUUUUCAUGUAAAAACACAAUUUUUACAUCCAUUUGAACUAGUUCCAAGGUAACAUCCCUGCUGAAUAUUACUUUCUUUGUCAUAAGACACCAUAAGCCCUAUCCUUUGACUCCAGAAAUAAUCCCCAUAAAAAUAGCCUUUAUUUUCCUUGGAUCCAAUUUUGACUGUCACAUGAUAAUAUGCAGCUGAGCCAAACACGUGCAAAUAGUCAUAAUCUACAGCAGGCUUUCCAAACCAUUUUUCAAAUGGUGUCUUGACAUCAACAGCAGCAGAUGGUAGUCGAUUAAUGGGGUCGCAUGCAUAUGUAAUUGCCUCAGCACAAAAUUCUUUGCCCAAGCCAGCAUUGGACAACAUAUACCGUACCGUCUCUAGCAAGGUCCAGUCCAUGCGUUCUGCCAGUCCAUUCUGUUGUGAUGUAUGUCUGACUGUGAAGUGUCGGACGAUGCCAUCAUUUUCACAGACCUUAUUGAAAUGAUUACUUUUGUAUUCACCUCCAUUAUUUAUGCGAAUACACUAGAUCCUCCUGCCUGUUUGAUUCUCUUCCAUCGUCUUCUAUUUGAGAAAAAUUCCCAGCACUUCAUCUUUGCUCUUCAUUGUAUACACCCAUACUCUCCGACAAAAAAUCAUCAACAAAAGUUACAAAAUAGUGCUUCCCACCAAAUGAAGGUGUUUUGCAAGGACCCCAACCAUCGGAGUGUACAUAAUCCAAAAUGCCUUUAGUAUUAUGGAUUGAUGUACCAAAUUUAACCCUUGUAUGUUUUUCUUUGACACAAUGCUCGCAAAACUCCAAGUUGCAAAAUUUUACUCCCUUUAGCAAUCCUUGAUCUGAUAGAGCUAUCAAGGAUUUUCCUCCAGCAUGUCCCAAGCGCAUGUGCCAUAACCUGGUUGCUUUUGUCUCUUUGUCGUCACUGGACGUCAUUGUCUCUGUCCCAAUAACUGUACUACCACGAUAGCGGUACAUGUUAUUGUUCUUUCGAUUAGCCUUCGUUACCACUAGUGCAUUAGAGCAUACUCUCAUUACUCCAUUUUCUGCAAUAAUUUUGAACCCUGUUGAUUCUAGGGCUCCCACAGAGAUAAGACUCUUCUUCAACGGUACAUAUCGAACAUCUAUUAAUGUUUUGAUAAUUCCAUCGUGGUUCCUUAAUUGUAUUGAACCAAUACCAAAUGAGGUAAGAGGGCUGUUGUCCGCUGUGUGGAUGAUUCCAUAUUCUCCUUCUUGAAAUUUCACAAACCAGUCCCUGUUGGGACACAUAUGAUAGCUACAAGCCGAGUCUAUCAACCAUAUAUCUGUUGAUGUUGAUGACUCUGUUGUAACUAAUGAGAAGUCUAAAUCAUCACAAUUAGCUACAUUUGAAUCCAUGAUGGCAUUUCCAUUGUUAUGUUUGCCCUUAUUCUUCAACCUCGUACUUUCCCUUUUCCAGUACCCCUUUUCUCGACAAAAGACAUAUUCAUCUUUGCUGGCUUUAGAUCUUGACUGUCCUCGUUUGAUUUUGAGGACGACCUCUCACAAAUAGUGCUUCUCCUUCUCCGCCCAUUUAUUUUUAUCGCUUUCUUUGUUCAUAGCCGUACAAAGUCGAACAAAGUUCUCUGAGAGAAACUUCGUCAUUUUCAUGGAGUAGAGUAGUUUCAAGGUGCUCGUACUCAUCAGGAAAUGACGCCUACAACAUCAAGGUUAAGUCAUCAUCUGUGAACACCUAAUUUUUGACCACACCCAAAUUCUAUACUAUUUUAGUGUAAAUACUUCUUUCACGUUUAAACUUUUAUCAUUCUUAAUAUGUUUUAUUUAAAAAUACAAAAAUACUCUCAUUCUUAGAGUUAAAAAAAUGAAUUUCUAGUGUGUGUGUAUAUAUAUAUAUGUAUCUUCUUUUAAUAAAUAAGCUAAAGAAUCAUUCUUAGUAGCAUUUAAAGUACAUGUAAAUAUUUACUUUUCCUAUAUUUUAAGAAAUAAUGGUUAUUCUUCUUAUCUUCAUAAUUACUUAUAUUUUAAAAUAAAAAGACCAAAAAAAAGUUCAAAAUAAGCUAAGAUCACGUUAAAGUAAUCAAGUUUUUAUAUCUUUUAAAAUAAAAAGACCAAAAAAAAAAAAAUUCAAAAUAAGCUAAGAUCACGUUAAAGUGAUCAAGUUUUUAUCAAAUUUUAUUGAAAAAUCUGAUUGUACACUCUUUUUUAAAAAAAGGAGGAUAAAUUUUGAAAUAUUCAAAAAAAUAUUAUCAUAAUUACUCACCGUGAUCUUCUCAACCGCAUUCUCACACUCCAACUCUAACUUUAACUCCCUCCACACAUCUAUAUAUUGUGGAAUUCCCUCACUUCAGAAGAAGACAGACGAAAAAAAAAGAGCAAAGGAAAGAGGAGAU